UUUAAGUAUAACUAUAAGUUUCUAUGUCCAAUUUUGAUCACCCGUUUUAUUUAAAAUUUUUUAUAAUUAGUAUUUCUAUUGUUAUAAUAUGAUAAAAUAUGAAUAGUACUUUAUAUGUGACUUAUGAUUUUAUUUUUUUCAAUUUUUUUUAAAUAAAACGGACGAUUAAAGUUAGGCACAGAAAAUCAUGAUUGCACUUAAA
rfam:Oryza glumipatula chromosome 6, whole genome shotgun sequence.